CGGCCCCGCCCUCGCCCCUUCCCUCCUUUCAGCUGGGAACCCGCCUGCUCCGGGAGAGACCCCUCCCCUAUCUGGUGUACCAGCCUCCGCCGUGGCAGGUUCAGUGCGUCUGCCAGAACCGCCGGGGCAGCCGCGACUGCGGGAAAGAUGGCCGCUCCCGACGCAGCAGCCUGGGCUCGGGGCCUGCAGGGCGCAGAGCCUCACUGAGCAAGGAAGCCUGCGAAGAUCCAUGCGAGAGGGCUGCCCUCACCAUCCAGACCCGCUACCGCCUCUACCAGUUGCAUAAGCAGGAGAAGAAAUAGGGGACGGGACGGGAUGGGACCGGACCAGAUCGGACCCAACCGACAGGCCGAGUUCCAUUUGCCCCCUCCCCGCGCCGUUUCGAUUCUUAAAGAGGCCGAAUGAUUCCCGCCCCCCGCUCCCCACACCGGCCGGGUGGCUCCUGAGAAUUAAAUACCUGAAUAAUUCAGGAAGAAGUUUGGCUGAUCUGAAUUGUCCCCGACCCUGCUCCCCUCAGCCCCGGGGAAGGGAAGGUUGGAGAUGGCCGUCCCUCGGCCCUUCUCCCUUCCU